rnacentral:rRNA from 1 species
GACGAACGCUGGCGGCGUGCUUAACACAUGCAAGUCGAACGGAAAGGCCCUGCUUUUGUGGGGUGCUCGAGUGGCGAACGGGUGAGUAACACGUGAGUAACCUGCCCUUGACUUUGGGAUAACUUCAGGAAACUGGGGCUAAUACCGGAUAGGAGCUCCUGCUGCAUGGUGGGGGUUGGAAAGUUUCGGCGGUUGGGGAUGGACUCGCGGCUUAUCAGCUUGUUGGUGGGGUAGUGGCUUACCAAGGCUUUGACGGGUAGCCGGCCUGAGAGGGUGACCGGCCAAAUUGGGACUGAGAUACGGCCCAGACUCCUACGGGAGGCAGCAGUGGGGAAUAGUGCACAAUGGGCGGAAGCCUGAUGCAGCAACGCCGCGUGCGGGAUGACGGCCUUCGGGUUGUAAACCGCUUUCGCCUGUGACGAAGCGUGAGUGACGGUAAUGGGUAAAGAAGCACCGGCUAACUACGUG